rnacentral:rRNA from 1 species
UACGUAGGUGGCAAGCGUUAUCCGGAUUUAUUGGGCGUAAAGGGAACGCAGGCGGUCUUUUAAGUCUGAUGUGAAAGCCUUCGGCUUAACCGGAGUAGUGCAUUGGAAACUGGGAGACUUGAGUGCAGAAGAGGACAGUGGAACUCCAUGUGUAGCGGUGGAAUGCGUAGAUAUCGCGCAGAACUCCGAUUGCGAAGGCAGCGUACCGGCGCCAGACUGACGCUGAGGCACGAAAGCGUGGGGAUCGAACAGG